rfam:Batrachochytrium salamandrivorans strain BS supercont1.849, whole genome shotgun sequence.
GCACGUAUGGCCGAGUGGUCUAAGGCGGAAGACUUAAGCUCUUCUACAGGUAACUGUGCGUGAGUUCAAACCUCACUGCGUGCA